UACGUAGGGUGCAAGCGUUAAUCGGAAUUACUGGGCGUAAAGCGUGCGCAGGCGGUUGUGCAAGACCGAUGUGAAAUCCCCGGGCUUAACCUGGGAAUGGCAUUGGUGACUGCACGGCUAGAGUGUGUCAGAGGGGGGGUAGAAUUCCACGUGUAGCAGUGAAAUGCGUAGAGAUGUGGAGGAAUACCGAUGGCGAAGGCAGCCCCCCUGGGAUAACACUGACG
rnacentral:rRNA from 1 species